GAAUCCUUUGCCCAUCAAAUCUUUUCAUCCACAGAAGGAACCCUUUUUUCUCCAAGUUUCAGUACUGAGAAAAAGUUGAUCUUCUCGAGUUUAUGCAUUUCUCCAUCAUUUACAAGAGGUUACUCUGUUCUCCAAUCUCUGUCGCUUAGAACAGGUUUGGUAAUUUACUUCUUCAUAUGAUCAAUUGAGGAAUUGCUUCUAGACAUUUUGUGCUUGGGAUGGUGGGUUUGGGAUUUCAUUUAAUUUUGCUGUUGGAUUUGUGGGCGAAACCCUGCAAUUUCACCGUUUUCUACCACUACAAUCAUUGAGAAUUUUAAUUUUGUUUUAUGUAUGAGUUGAAGAAGAAUCACGUUUCAAGUUGUUUGUUUGUGCUCUAGCGGAUAGGGAUUUGGCUUUAAUAAAAAUUUAAAGAUGAAAGAUAACGAGAAUUUGCAUGGGUACUCUGCUAGAUUUUUAGAGUUGGUUUAAUCAAAGGGAAACCCUAGGAGAAAGCAGAAGUGACCAGAGAAUAGUGGAGAAGAUUUUGAUUAGUUUAUGGAAGAAAUUUGAUCCUAUAGUAGAAGCGUAAGACAAAGGACAAUUUUCUUCAUAUGGACAACAUCGUUAAUACAAGACUGAAGAUGGGAAAUGGAGAUGAAGCAGAAGCAAAAGGAAUGGCGGAAUAUUUCAGUUCAAAGCAAGCAUGGAACCGGAUUAGAUUUAUUAGGGACAGGUUUUGGAGAAUUGGUAUUCGCUCAAUUUCCAAAGACAAUUGCUGCCCAGUCAAUGGCAAAGGAGAUAUAAAACAGGUUGUUGUAAAGAUAAAAAUGGAAGAAAACAGAAGCUUUCCAUUCUGCUUGUACCAUUCAAUGGGAUCUGCAAUGCCAUGAAGGCCUCCAUCGAUUGUUGAAGAUUCAUGGCUAUGGCUUUGGAGAUACGGGGGGCCAUGUGAAUUUUUGAAUCUUAAGGUGCUGCAAAAGAAGGUAUAUAGGUUGUUUCUGAAGGAUAUGUUCUUGGAAAACAUCAGACAACCCUUUUUGCAAAGGGUCAACUUGGAGAGCUGAAGAAAAGCUUGAGUUGCUGCAUAUGGACAAGCGUGAUCCUACGCUGAUGUUAAAGCUGAAGUCAACAAUUGCAAUAUUCAAAGGGAGGCUGGAGAAAACAAGAAAAAGAAAGACAAAUGAAGUAGCCAGCAGCCAUGCCUUUUUUGAUAAAAGGCAAAAGUAGCAGCCAAGCCUUUUGAAUUUCAGGCUACUGCUUUUGACAAUGGAGCGCUGAAAUUGAAUUGGAGCGGCACACGAAACGCGUAAGGGAGGCAUAUAAAUUGGCCUCCCAAACUCAAUUGUUCUCAACUUCUGUAUCCCAUUUGUCUGAGAGAAAUUUUCUGGGUGUAAUUGGGUUGUGGUUUUGUGAGUGGAGAGUGUUUGUAAAAACAAUGUGUAUAUUUUUCCAAAUAGUGAAAAUAUUGCAGUAGCUUCGUGGACGUAGGGGAUUUUCCUGAACCACAUAAAAUUCUCAUGUCCUUUUAUUAUCUUGUCCUUAUUAUUACUUGUGUAUCUCCUUCUUUCUCCCACCAUUCCCAACAACUAGUAUCAGAGCCUACAUUUAGGUGUUUAUAUAUUUACUUAUCGUAUGCUUUGUGGUUGCCACUAUAAAAGUGGAUCAUCCACAUCAGAAAAUAAGUUAAAUUAUUAAUCACUUUUUGAUAGGUAUUGGGAACUAUUCACGUAUAUGGGAUACUAUUCACACAUAUGGUUACUGUUCACGUGAAAUAGUGAGAGUUAAUUUUUUUUUCUCAAAAGUAGUUCGUGAUAGGAGCAAUGGCAUCUGAGAAAGAUUCAUACAAGAUUGAGAAGUUCGAUGGUUCGAAUUUUAGAUUUUGGAAGAUGCAAAUGGAAGAUUAUCUGUACCAGAAAGACUUGUACUUGCCACUGGACAUGAAGCUGCAGAACAUGAAAGACGAGGAAUGGAAGGUGUUAGAUCGCAAAGCCUUAGGGGCAAUUCGUCUUAGUUUGAUGAGAUCUGUUGCCUUCAAUGUCAAAGAUCAGGAUACAAUUGCAGGACUCAUAAAAGCUCUCUUCAAUAUGUACGAGCAGCCUUCUGCAGCCCAAAAGAGGAAAUCAGAAGGAAGAAGGUCCCUAAACUUCGGCAUCAACAUUGAAUGUGGAGAGCAGAGGCAAAAACAGAUUCAAAGGCAAUCAGCGUGGCAUAUCUAAGUUAAGGAAUGGAAGAUCAAAAUCUAGAAGCCGCUAAUUCAACAAAGGUAAAAAUAAUGUUGAAUGUUGGAACUGUGAAAAAAUGGGACACUUUAAAUUUGAAUGCAAAGGUUCAAAGAAAGAAAACGACGAACAAGCCAAUUCAAAUGUCAUGUCAAAUGAUUCAGAUGAUGCUCUCAUAUGUUCUAUGGAGAGCGAGACGGAAUCUUGGGUGCUAGAUUCACGGGCUUCAUUCCAUGCUACCUCAAACAAGGAAGUGUUUGAGAACUAUGUCUCAGGAAAUCUGGGAAAGGUGUAUCUCGGUGAUGAUUUGGCAUGUGACAUCGUUGGUCAAGGAGCAAUACGGAUCAAACUAAAUGGAUCUGUAUGGAAGUUGAAGAAUAAGAAACAUGUACCCAGUCUGAGGAAGAAUCUAAUUUCUGUUGGAUAGUUGACAAAAGACGAUUACGUAACAACUUUUGCAGGAGACACUUGAAAGAUUUCGAAGAGCUAUGACUAUUGCGUGAGGUAAGAAAACCGGAACUCUUUACACAACUAUGAAUGGAAGUUGCUCUAUUGCAAUUGCAGAAUGUAAAGAAGAUUUGAAUCUGUGGCACCAAAGGCUUGGCCACAUGAGUGUAAAGGGGUUGAAAGUCAUGCAUUCGAAAGGGAAACUACUGGGAUUGAAAUAAGUGGAUAUUGAUUUGUGUGAGAGCUGUAUUUUCAGAAAGUAGAAACGGGUGAGUUUCAAGAAAGUAGGAAGAACUCCGAAAACAUCAAAGCUUGAGUUAGUUCACACAAAUGUUUGGGGUCUACAACAGUUUCAUCAAUCGGUUGUAAGUAUUAUUUUAUUACUUUUAUUGAUGAUCAUUCUAGGAAAGUAUGGGUAUAUUUUAUCAAAUAUAAAUCUAAGGUAUUUUAAACAUUUAAAAGAUGGAAAGUGAUGGUGGAGAAUGAAAUGGGUUUGAGGAUUAAAAAACUGCUUUUUGACAACGGUGGAGAGUACGAAGACAUCGAGUUUAAAAAGUUCUAUUAUGAGAGCGGGAUCAAGCUUGAAAAGACUGUGAUAGGCACACCACAACAGAAUGGCAUAGCAGAAUGUAUGAACAAAACAUUGAUUGAGAGAGCCAGAAGCUUGCAUCUACAUGCAGGGUUUCCCAAGCAGUUCUGGGCAGAGGCAGUCAACACGACAGCUUAUUUACUCAAACACGAACCAUCAAUAGGCUUAGAUUUCAAAAUACCAGAAGAGGUUUGGACUAAAAAAUAGGUUAGACUUUCACAUUUUAAAGUAUUUGGUUGUGUCUCUUACAUGCAUAUUAGUGAUAAUUCUAGAAAUAAACUUGAUGCUAAAUCACUUAAAUGCACAUUUAUUGGUUUGGUGGAUGAAUUUGGUUAUAGAUAUUGGGAUAAACAAAAUAAGAAAAUCAUUAGAAGCAGGGAUGUAUUUUUUAAUGAAAAGGUCCUGUAUAAAGAUAGAGACACAUUAUAGUCCACUAGUCCAAUGGAUCCAGAACCUGGUUACUUUUAGCCCUAUGAUAUCCCAAAUAUGUCACUGUUAAAACAGAUCAAAAUCCUCAAUAGGAAGAAAUUAUGGGACAGGUUAUUGAAGAGCCACAGGAUCAAGUUCUUAUGUUGAGGAGAUCCAGUCGACCACAUGUACCAAAUAGAAAGUAUUUGAGCUAUUUGCUACUAACAGAUGGAGGAGAACCUGAAUGCUAUAAUGAAGCAUGUCAGGUAAAAGAUGCGAGCAAGUGGGAGCUUGCAAUGGAAGAUGAGAUGGAGUCUCUUAAAUCUAACCAGACUUGGGAGUUAGCAAAGCUACUAGCCAGCAAGAAAGAUUUGUAGAAAAAAUGGGUGUACCGAGUCAAAGAGGAGCAUGAUGGCUCCAAGAGAUACAAAGCAAGAUUGGUGGUUAAAGACUUCUAGUAGAAAGAAGGUAUUGACUACACAUACAUCUUUUCUCCGGUCGUCAAACUAACUACCAUUCAGUCAGUUUUGAGUAUUGUAGUAGCAAAGGAUCUACAUCUAGAGUAGUUAGAUGUGAAGACAAUUUUUCUCCAUGGUGAUCUAGAAGAAAAGAUAUACAUGCAGCAAUAAGAGGGAUUCACAGUAAAAGGCAAUGAAGGUUAACUAAAGGUUUGUAUGGUUUGAAACAAGCACCUCAAUAGUGGUACAAGAAGUUUGAUGGCUUCCUAAAAUGCAAUGCUGACGACUGUUGUUACUUCAAGAAGGUCAGUUCCAGCUUUAUUAUUUUGCUACUUUAUGUUGAUGAUAUGUUAGUAGUAGAAGCUGACAAAGAUGAGAUUAACAAGUUGAAGAAACAGUUAUCCAGUGAAUUUGAGAUGAAGGUUUUGGGUCUAGCAAAACAAACACCUGGGAUGAGGAUUAAUAGAGACAAGCAUAAGGGUACCUUACAAUUAUCUUAGGUAGAGUAUGUUCGUAAGGUCUUGCAGUUUGGUAUGAGUAAUACCAAAGGAUCAGCGUCCAAAAACAGACGAAGAAAAGGAGUACAUGGCUAAAGUUCCAUAUGCCUCAGCCAUUGGAAGCUUGAUGUAUGCCAUGGUUUGUACGAGACUAGAUAUUGCUCAUGCAGUGGGAGCAGUGAGCAGAUUCAUGUUUAAUCCAGGCAAACAACAUUGUGAAACAGUUAAAUGAAUAUUGAGAUACCUGCGGGGUACUAUCGAAUGGUGUUUAUGCUUUAGGAAAGGCGAGCUGAAAUUGCAAGGUUAUGUUGAUGCUGACUUCACUGGAGAAGUAGGUCACAAAAGGAGCACUAUAGGGUAUGUGUUCACAAUGGGGACUACAGUAGUUAGCUGGAUUUCUCAAUUGCAAAAGAUUGUGUCUCUCUCUAUAACUGAGGCAGAGUAUGUAGUAGUGACAGAAGCAAGCAAUGAGCUUAUCUAGUUUCAAGGUUUGUUAGCAGAAAUGGGUUUCAAACUAGAAAUGAAUGUGUUGUACAGUGACACUCAAAGUGCAAUACACUUGGCCAAGAAUUCAGUAUUUCAUUCAAGGACCAAGCAUAUAGGACUUCGUUAUCAUUUUAUUCAAUCAUUAAUGGAGGAUGGAGUAUUAACGCUUGUAAAGAUACAAGGCAACAAAAACCCAGCUGACAUGUUAACCUAGACAAUCACUAUUGAGAAAUUAGAGUUGUGUACAGUUCUAAUUGGUCUUUGAGGAUAAAAAGAUCAAAAUGAGCUAUUGCAUUGAUUGGGUGUGAAGAUUAGUCUUCAAGUGAGAGAUUGUUAAAGCUAAAGUCAACAAUUGCAAUAUUCAAAGGGAGGCUGGAGAAAACAAGAAAAAGAAGACAAAUGAAGCAGCCAGCAGCCAUGCCUUUUUUGACAAAAGGCAAAAGCAGCAGCCAAGUCUUUUGAAUUUCAGGACACUCCUUUUGACAAUGGAGCGCCAAAAUUGAAUUGGAGCGGCGCACGCAACGUGUAAGGGAGGCCUAUAAAUUGGCCUCCCCAACUUAAUUGUUCUCAACUUCUAUAUCCUAUUUGUCUAAGAGAAAUUUUCUGGGUGUAAUUGGGUUAUGGUUUUGUGAGUAGAGAGUGUUUGUAAAAACAUUGUGUAUAUUUUCUCAUAUAGUGAAAAUACUACAGUCUUCGUGGACGUAGGGGAUUUUCCUGAACCACAUAAAAUUCUCGUGUCCUUCUCUUAUUAUUCCGUCCAUAUUAUUACUUGCGUAUCUUCUUCUUUCUCCCACCAUUCCCAGCAGCAGACUCUUUCUUAUGCAUGAGAUAGGCAUUUCAUUUUAUGGUUGAUGAUUAUACAAACAUAAUUUGGGUAUACUUUAUGAGACCAAACCUGAAGUCUAGUUUUCUUUUUAACUUGAAGUGUGUUCUAUUUUUAAGAAACGUGAACGUCUUGCUGAAAACAAAGUGUUGGUCAAUAAAAGUUUUAAGAAGUGAGAGGGGAAAGAGGAGUAUAAUUCAAGUGACGCUGAAGAGUUCUGCGUAGCGUGGGGAGACAACUUACCAUUGGCUAUACUCAACAAAAUGGGGCAUCAGAGAGGAAGCAUCAAACUGUGAUGGAGAUAGCAAAAUCCAUGUCACACAAGAGGAGUUACCCUAAACCUUUUAGGUCGCUAAAGAUGCAGUUUUUGAUGAAAAGGCAAGAUGGAAUUGAUAUGAGAGCAAGGUACAGAAACAUAACAUUUUUAUUGAUGACAUUCAAAAGGGGCAGACUUAUUCAGACAACUUAGCAGGUGUAUCAGAAAAUGAGUUGACUCAAAUAGCAUACUCAUCAGAUUCAUCCUGACCUAGCUCAACUCCUAUAAGAAUAAAGAGAUUGAGUGAUGUCUAUGCAAAAUCCAACUUUGGUCCAAUAGAUUCCUGAGAAUUUUGAAGAAGCAAAUUGAGGAAGAAACUUGGAGGAAAGCAAUGGAAGAAGGAAUUGUAAUGAUUUAAGAGAGCAAAACAUGGGAGCUUGUGGAAAGACCAAAAGAUAAAAGCAAGUGGUGUAAAGUGGAUUUUCAAGGUGAAGCUCAAAGCUUAACCCAGAUGGUUCUGUCCUAUGAAACAAAGCAUCAUUGGUUUUAAAGGGUAUUCACAAUAGCCUGACAUUGGCUACAAUGAAACCUUAGCUGCAGUUGCAAGGCUGGAUGUCAUUAGAGCUUUGAUUGAGUAAAGGAUCAAGCGUAAACUCUGUAUUUAUAAGCUAAGUAAUAACCUCAAUUUUUACAAGAUUAGUUGGAAACUCCA